GCAGUGAAAACUUGGCUUCUGCUCAUCCCUGAGCUCGAGUUUCACUUGUUUUGUUGUUUGUGGGAUAGUUUAGGCUGUUUAGAUGUGAGUGGCCAGGUGUUUCCAAUAUUGAACCUCUUCGUGUGGAAACGCGCACAGAUAAGAGAGCUCAGUCUGUCACAAGCCUUGGUGGAGCUCUUUCAGCGUUUGAAGUUCUGACUUGAAAGGACUGACUUCUGAGAAAUCAAGGCACAGAGUCCCAGCCCCUCUCUUUCAGCAGGAACUCUGUGACAGAUUCAGAUUAGGAGCUGGACUAGUUCUCCAGUGAGUGCCCUGUGCCUCGGUGGGAGUUGAAUGUGUGUUUUGGCUCCACAGUGCUGCUUAGUCUUGGAGCUCCCCUCUGUGCAAGAAAGUGAUGCUGAAAGCAGCCUGACAUUUCUAGUCGAUCAAAAGGAAAACAAAUAACCUCAGCAAUGGAGAAAAAAAGACAGCUACAGAAAAGGGAAUUUGGGAAAAGGCUUUCUCUGGACAGCAGUCUUGUGACUCUGAAUACAGAAGCUAUGAAGGUAUUUGAUGGAAGAGUGAGAAAAUGAAAGAGGUGUUUCUGAAGAAAAGACAUGAUUUCUCUCUCCUUAGAAUAUAGAUUUGGCCUUCAAAAUAUGACCAUAAAUUUCACCAGUGUUUUGUGUUCAGGCCUGCCCCAUCAAACAAUGAGUUUCAGGCUUCAGAUAAGAAAGAUCCAUGGGGCAUCCUUCAAACAGGGAGAAAUUCCAUAGCUAUUAAAACACUCUUCUUUACACCACAGGCACAGUAACUACUUUUGGAUCACUCAGAUAAGGAAGGGUUCAGUUUUAUUUCCUGUACUACUCUACCCCUUGCAGGUAUCUUGGGCAGAUAAGCUUUACAAUGAGAGCAAAUAAAUGUUUUAAAAUUUAAAAAUAUUGGUGCACAAAUAUGUUCAUAAGCUGCCUUUCAUAGGGGAUAAUUUUUUUAAUGAGUGAUGAUCAAUGCUUUGCUGGAAGUUAGUAGUUUGAAAGCACUGAGUUUAACAAGCUUCAGAAUCCUACCACUGCUAAGAAAAGCCAGAGGAAUUGCUACUACUGCUGCCCAGGUUAAAGGGACAUCUUGCUGUUAGCUUCAAUUAAAUUAGACUUCUAUCAUCUUUUAGUCAUUAUAUCACAGGUGCUAUUCCAGAAAUGUCCAGUAUAGCCAAUGGCUGUUACUGCUCUGUAGGUCUCCAAUAUUGGCAACAUGCUGAAGAUUUGUUAUAUGCCCAGUCACAUACAUCUGCAGUCAAAGCAGGUAAGCCUGCAUUGACAUUGAUGUUUUAUAGCUUUGUGUUCAGGUGAAACAGAAAAUAUUAGCUUCAUAACAAUUCUCACAGGUAAU